AGAACGAACGCUGGCGGCAUGCCUAACACAUGCAAGUCGAACGCUCCUGGGGCUUCGGUCUCAGGGGAGUGGCGCACGGGUGAGUAGCGCGUGGGAACCUGCCCUGUUGUGGGGGAUAACCGAGGGAAACUUCGGCUAAUACCGCAUAAGCCGGUUGUCUUGAAAGAGAUGGCCGGGAAAGAUUUAUCGCGACAGGAGGGGCCCGCGUCGGAUUAGGUAGUUGGUAGGGUAACGGCCUACCAAGCCUUUGAUCCGUAGCUGGUCUGAGAGGAUGAUCAGCCACACUGGGACUGAGACACGGCCCAGACUCCUACGGGAGGCAGCAGUGGGGAAUAUUGGACAAUGGGCGCAAGCCUGAUCCAGCAAUGCCGCGUGAGUGAUGAAGGCCUUAGGGUUGUAAAGCUCUUUCGCCCGCGACGAUGAUGACGGUAGCGGGAGAAGAAGCCCCGGCUAACUUCGUGCCAGCAGCCGCGGUAA
rnacentral:rRNA from 1 species